rfam:Vigna angularis cultivar Jingnong 6 C2956559_1, whole genome shotgun sequence.
UGUCUCCUGCAGUGUUCGACGAACGCUCUAAACCCUUGAGCCUAUUUGCAAACCCCCGGGAGCCAAAACUGGUUGGGCGUGCAAGCCCGCGUUGUCGGCGGGAAGCCCGAAAGCCAGAUUGCGGCACCCACUUGAGACCUCGUCUCAAGGUACCGAGCGAAUGACGGCACAGGCGGGAGUCAC